rnacentral:rRNA from 1 species
AUUGAACGCUGGCGGCAGGCCUAACACAUGCAAGUCGAACGAGCGGCGGACGUGUGAGUAAUGUCUGGGGCUUUGCCCGAUAGAGGGUGAUAACUACUGAAAACGGUGGCUAAUACCGCAUACUAUCGGAUGAACCCAUAUGGGAUUAGCUAGUAGGUUGGGUAAAGGCUCACCUAGGCGACGAUCUCUAGCUGGUCUGAGAGGAGGAUCAGCCACACUGGGACUGAGACACGGCCCAGACGCCUACGGGAGGCAGCAGUGGGGAAUAUUGCACAAUGGGCGCAAGCCUGAUGCAGCCAUGCCGCGUGUAUGAAGAAGGCCUUAGGGUUGUAAAGUACUUUCAGCGGGGAGGCGUUACCCGCAGAAGAAGCACCGGCUAACUCCGUGCCAGCAGCCGCGGUAAUUC